ensembl:lncRNA
AUGAUAAAAAGUUUAUGGAUUGUUGCUGCUAAAAAGACUGUAUUAGACACACUGCGAUACCCAAAACCAAAUGCUAGCUGCUUUUUAAGUCAAAAACAGCCAGCUAAUGAUCUAUAUUUUGCUUUACAGUGUAACUUGACAAGAGUAGAAAAAUGUAGGGGCCAAGAAGAAAAGCUUCCCCUUUCAGCCUCUGAAGGUUUGCUGAAAAUGAGCGGAAAAAUGCAGAUCAACAGGAGAAAAGGUAUCAUUCUGAUUGUUGUCGUAACAGGGGAGAUGAGAGGAAAUUAGAGGGGCUAGACGAACCAGAAGACCUGUUAAAACUCAUGAAUACAAAGAAAAGUCAUUUGCUUCUGUGCUUCCAUUCCAUAGUAAAAUGAGUAUAAUGUCAGUAUCAGUGUUCUAAUAGUUUUUACGUCCACAUGAUGAGUUGAAUGCCAUGUUUUGUCUUUUGUAAAAAUUGGGGUUAUUUCACUUCUAGGAGUCCGAUAUCCUCACACAAGCACAUAAAAUAUGUAUACGAGGACACUCAUGGCAGCAUAUUUUCAAAAUUAAUUUUGUUGUUUCAUCUGAGUCAUAUAUGUGCACAAGAGGCAGCAAAGUAGCAUGAAUUAAGGGCAGGGCCUCUGGGCAGCCUGCCUGCGACGGAGGCCUUUAUCGCAUGGGGAUCUCCGUUUCCUUUUCUGCAAAAUGCAGAUCCUCACAGGUACCACUACAGCAUCAUGGCAUUGGUAGGAGGAUUACAUGAGCAUAUACAUAAGUGUGCAAAGCAUGGCUGGCAUGCCGUCAGCAGCGUAUCAAUGUUAACCGCACCUCGGAAGUCAAAAAGCACUGAAAGGUUUGCAGCGAAAGGCAGCAUUCUCUGGCAGAGAUAUCACUCCUCCGGCCCGGAUAUCACUUCCCAGUGGUAAGCGCUCACAGCUCCUCUCCGUGCUGCUCCUGAUGGUCGCCACCAUAGCUUUAAAUAGGAUUCUUACACAGCUAUUUUUUAAACCACUUUAACUAUUUUAGGUGUUUAACUCACUAACAUUAAGUACGUCUACAAUGUCACUCAGUCAUCACCACUGUCCCUUUUCAGACUGCUUUCAUCUUCGUAAACAGAACCUUUGUCCACAUUAACCAAUAACUCCCCAUUCCCCUUUCUCAGCAGUGCCUGGGAACCAUUACUCUACUUUUCGCCACUACAAACUUGCCUUUUUUAGGAAUCUCAUGUAAGUGGAAUCAUGCCGUAUUUGUCCUUUUGAGACUGGCUUUUUUCAUUUAGCAUUGUGUCCUCAAGGCUCAUCUACAUUGGACAGAAUUUCAUUCCUUUGUAGGGUUGAAUAGUAUUCUAUUGUUGUGUAUGUAACGUUUCGUUUCUGUUCAUCUCUGUGGACAUCUGGUUUUCUUCUGCUAUGAACAUAGGUGUACACAUCUCUGUUCAAGUCUUUGUUUUGGGGCAGCUAUCUUUGUGACAUAUCUGUUCUUACGUUAUCUUUUUACUUCUAGGCAUGGUGAAUAAGAUAAACAAGGACUUAAUCAUAAUCAACUCCCUGCCUUUCUAUAUACACACUCCCCUCCCUGCUCCCACAUAGCUUUGGUUUAAAAAUCAGUGUUUUUCUCUAUUUAAUGAAAGUCAAGGUGCUCUUACCUUCCCUGGGACAGAAGGGACCAGGGAGGAGAUGGUGUUCCUGGAGCUGGGAAGAAGCAGAGGGAAGCAGAGAUGAUGAGUGAGACUGUGCCAGAGUCUAAAGGAAGCACGGAAGAAAGAUCCUGGCUUUUCCCUCCGUUCUCUGCUCCGUCUCCUGUAGUUCAAACCAGCUUGAAAGCCAGAGGGCAAAGGCACCCAGGCCAUGCGUUUGCAGGGCCCAGGAGCUGAGAAGGGACCAAGGAAGGAGGCCAAAUGGAGCCCACCUGCAGCCUUCCCUUCCUGAACUGCCCUCUCCGUCGCCGACUCCCUGCCAGCGCCCAUGGCCCCUGCUGCCGGCAGGAGGAACCCUUCCCUGAGAGCAGCCUCCCUGUGCACGUGGACCUGGCAGGGAGGCUCACACACAUCCACACUCAGAACGAGCACAGAAGCUUCUCCCAAGGCUAAAUAGAAAUGGCUUUUGGAUUACCCGCCAUUUGGGAAGAUUAUCUGCACCACUGCUUCCGUCCAUUACUGAGGAGAGCCAGGAGGUAUCUGGACCGUCCUUGGUCUUCCGGGAUGACCUUGUGGAGAGCUGAUUACAGUCUGCGUGCGGAAAAAGAAGACGCCUGCCUGCCAUUCUUUUCCUCACUCUGGUUCAGCAACGUUUGAUCUCUGGCCUGUGGCUGGCACCCAUAUUAAAGAGCCUGUCAUUGCUUGUGAUUUUUCUUGGAAGAUCAGAAUUCAGAUUGCAGCAAGGCUUUGCCACCAGAGCUGUAGAGGAUCCAUAUUUGCCUUUGAGCCUUCCAGGCUUCAAUUUACUACUUGAGACCCCUUCUCCAGAGCACCCCCGCUACCCCCAUCCCAGCUGCAUGCCUCCUGGCCAUACUCCCACGCCCCCGAACCAUUAGAAGGACAGCUACCAACACAGCUGCAAUGGUCUGAGCAGAAAAGAAAAUGAAAGCGAGAGGCAGACUCCAAGGCCAGGACCCGCGAGAGCUUGGGGACAUGCCAGCGAUGGGAAUUAGGGGUCUUCCUGGUGGGCACCUUGGAUUUGCACAGAGACCAUGUGCUCCACCAUAGCCUCCUCUCAUGCCGCACAGCCCUGACUCCAGGACUCACUUCCAGAGCCUCUGAGCUGCACCCACCCCUGGCUCUAGUGCCAUCCAUUUCUUACGUCCUAGGUCCGUUUCUCCUCUCUCCAGCCACCACUGCCUUCCCACAUAGACACUAUUGUUUAGAGGUGAGAAGCUGAUGCAUGUAAAGGUUAAGCAGCUUGCCCAGUGUGGCGCAUCUGAUAAGCGGCAGUGCUAGGGUGCAAAACCAGGCUGGCCACAAACCACAGUUUGUGCUCUUACCUCAGGGUACCUCUGCCCCCAGGCCAUCCCUCCGUGGGUUCCUCAGGGCUUUUGCUGCUUACUUGCCCUUCCACCCUUCCGCCCUUCCUUCCUUCUUUUCUUCCUCCUUUUCCUUCCUUCCUUCCUUCCUUCCUUCCUUCCUUCCUUCCUUCCUUCCUCUUUCCCUCCCUCCUUCCUUCCUUUCCCUUCUUUCCCUCCCUCCCUCCCUUCCUCCCCUCCCUUCUUCCUCCCUUCCCUUUCUUCUUUAUUUUCCAAGUCUCCCUCUGUUGCCCAGGCUGGAGUGCAGUGGUAUGAUCUCAGCUCACUGCAACUUCUACUUCCCAGGUUUAAAUGAUUCUUGUGCCUCAGCCUCCUGAGUAGCUGGGAUUACAGAUGUGCACCACUAUACCUGGCUAAUGUUUUAUUUUUAGUAGAGACAGGGUUUCACCAUGUUGGCGAAGCUGGUCUUGAACUCCUGGCCUAUGUGAUCUGCCCACCUCGGCCUCCCAAAGUGCUGAGAUUAUAGGCCUGAGCCACCGUGCCCAGCC